rnacentral:lncRNA from 1 species
AAAGCAACACUCCUCUCUGUACUUCCGUGAGUGACUGCAGCUGCUACUGUCGUUUUGCACUGAUUUUCGGGUGGUUUAGCUUCCUACAAAGCUUUUGUUCUGUACCAGACGUGACAGAAGAGCACAGGUCCCUUCAGUGGUCACAUAUGAACAUGCAAUCUCUUGGUGUCUGUGAGGAGCUGGCUCCAGAACCUCCAUGGAUGCUCAAAUCUCAUAUAAAACUGUGUGGCAUUUGCCUAUAACUUAUGCACAUCCUCCUUUGUGCAGUAUUUUAAAUGAUCUCUAGAUUAUUUAUAAUAUGUAAUGCAAAUUAAAUGCUAAAUAAAAAUAUUUCUUGGGA